rnacentral:rRNA from 1 species
CGCUGGCGGCAGGCCUAACACAUGCAAGUCGAACGGUAGCACAGAGAGCUUGCUCUCGGGUGACGAGUGGCGGACGGGUGAGUAAUGUCUGGGAAACUGCCUGAUGGAGGGGGAUAACUACUGGAAACGGUAGCUAAUACCGCAUAACGUCGCAAGACCAAAGAGGGGGACCUUCGGGCCUCUUGCCAUCAGAUGUGCCCAGAUGGGAUUAGCUAGUAGGUGGGGUAACGGCUCACCUAGGCGACGAUCCCUAGCUGGUCUGAGAGGAUGACCAGCCACACUGGAACUGAGACACGGUCCAGACUCCUACGGGAGGCAGCAGUGGGGAAUAUUGCACAAUGGGCGCAAGCCUGAUGCAGCCAUGCCGCGUGUAUGAAGAAGGCCUUCGGGUUGUAAAGUACUUUCAGCGGGGAGGAAGGUGUUGUGGUUAAUAACCACAGCAAUUGACGUUACCCGCAGAAGAAGCACCGGCUAACUCCGUGCCAGCAGCCGCGGUAAUACGGAGGGUGCAAGCGUUAAUCGGAAUUACUGGGCGUAAAGCGCACGCAGGCGGUCUGUCAAGUCGGAUGUGAAAUCCCCGGGCUCAACCUGGGAACUGCAUUCGAAACUGGCAGGCUGGAGUCUUGUAGAGGGGG